rnacentral:sRNA from 1 species
GCCAGGUGCAGUGACACACACCUGUAAUCCCAGGUACUUGAGAGGCUGAGGCAAGAGGAUUGCAAGUUCAAGGACAGCCUUGGCAACUUAAUGAGAUCCUGUCUCAA